rnacentral:rRNA from 1 species
CAGCCGCCGCGGUAAUACCGGCGGCCCGAGUGGCGGUCACUAUUAUUGGGCUUAAAGCGUCCGUAGCCGGGUUGGGAAGUCCUCCGGGAAAUCUGGCCGCUUAACGGUCAGAAUGCCGGAGGAUACUCCCAGCCUAGGGAGCGGGAGAGGCCGAGGGGAUUCCCGGAGUAGGGGGGAAAUCCUAUAAUCCCGGGAGGACCACCUGUGGCGAAGGCGCUCGGCUGGAACGCGUCCGACGGUGGGGGACGAAGGCCAGGGGAGCAAACCGGAUUAGAUACCCGGGUAGUCCUGGCUGUAAACGAUGCGGACUUUGUGUCGGACAAGCUAUGAGCUUGUCCGGUGCCGGAGGGAAACCGUUAAGUCCGCCGCCUGGGGAGUACGGCCGCAAGGCUGAAACUUAAAGGAAUUGGCGGG